AAAGGUAUCAAAAGCUUUUUUCGCUGACCUGCUGUAGCCGGAGGAAUCUCAAAAGAAACUGCUUAUGCUCAAUGCCUCACAAGGGGAAGGUGAGGUUACUCUUCCUCAUUGGGAAUUGAGAUGACCCAAGUUCAAGCUGAUGCCAGAGUGGAGAAGCUUGUGAAUUUCAGCAAGAGACUUACAAUUCCCCUGCCUCACCCCUCCCAACACUUGAGCCAAGGAAUAAGAGGAAGAGGAGCAGGAACAGCAAAAAAAAAAGAGGAGAGAAAAAGAGAACUCUACAUUAUUGUGCCUGAAAUUCCAAAAUUCCCAAGCUGCACUCAGAAACUGGCUCUGUGAGAUACAGUACUGAAUAGUGACAAGCAAAUGCACCAGAUACCGUUGUGAGGAUACAGUAGGAGAGAAUUCCCAGAUACAUUGCAUUCAAGUAUUUGAACCAAUGACUUCUCAUCAUUAUGUUACAGUGGCAUUCAAGGUCUGACCAAUGUGGAUCACAUCCCGUCUCUUAGGAAGGACGGAAUAAGGAUGGGCAUCAAGGAUGAAAUCCACCACUACCUUCAGUGUGUUAUAUCCCAUUGAUCAUCCAAGGAAAUAGCUCUUCAAAGACCAAGACCUCAAACCUAGCAGCAUGCUCCAGCAAUAAUCCCCAUCGUACAAGCAAUGUAUGGUCACUAAGGAUGAUAUGGAAAUAAUCCACUGAACUUACUAUGUUCUCAAGCUCCAAGACUUUGUAUUUUAAGAAUGCAAAACCAAAUACUGAUUUUUUAAAAAC